rnacentral:rRNA from 1 species
GAUGAACGCUGGCGGCGUGCCUAAUACAUGCAAGUCGAGCGAACGGACAGGAAGCUUGCUCCUCUACCGUUAGCGGCGGACGGAUGAGUAACACGUGGAUAACCUACCUCUAUGACUGGGAUGACUUCGGGAAACCGCAGCUACUACCGCCUAAUAUAUUCAACCGCAUAGUUCAAUAGUGCAAGACGGUUUUGCUGUCUCUUAUAGCUGGAUCCGCGCUGCCUUAGCUAGGUGGUAAGGUAACGGCUUACCAAGGCAACGAUGCGUAUCCGACCCGAGAGGGUUGAUGGCCAACCUUGAAAUGAGAAAACGGUCAGAACUCCAAGGGAGGGAGGCGGAGGGAAAUUUCGGAAAUUGGCGAAAGCCUGACGGAGCAACGCCGCGUGAGUGAUGAAGGCCUUCGGAUUGUAAAGCCCUGUUAUUAGGGAAGAAAAAAAGUGGAAUUAACUACGGACGUCCUGACGGUACCCAAAGAGAAAGCCACGGCUAACUACGUG